rnacentral:rRNA from 1 species
UACAGAGGGGGCAAGCGUUGUCCGGAUUUACUGGGCGUAAAGAGCGUGUAGGCGGCCAUACAGGUCCGUUGUGAAAACUGGAGGCUCAACUUCCAGACGUCGACGGAAACCGUGUGGCUAGAGUCCGGAAGAGGAGAGUGGAAUUCCUGGUGUAGCGGUGAAAUGCGCAGAUAUCAGGAAGAACACCAAUGGCGAAGGCAGCUCUCUGGGACGGUACUGACGCUGAGACGCGAAAGCGUGGGGAGCGAACAGG